rnacentral:rRNA from 1 species
GACGAACGCUGGCGGCGUGCUUAACACAUGCAAGUCGAACGGCAAGGCCCUGCUUUUGUGGGGUGCUCGAGUGGCGAACGCGUGCGUAACAGGUGUGUAACCUGCCCUUGACUUUGGGAUAACUUCAGGAAACUGGGCCUACUAUCGGAUCGGAGCUCCUGCUGCAUUGUGGGGGUUGGAACGUUUCGGCUGUUGGGGAUGGACUCGCGGCUUAUCAGUUUGCUAGUGGGGUAGUGGCUUACCAACGCUUGGACGGAUAGCCGGCAUGGGAGGGUGGCCGGCCACAAUAGGACUGAGGUACGGCCCAGUCUGGUACAGUAGGCAGCGGGCGGAAGUAUUGCACAGUGGUCGGGAGUCUGAGGCGGCAACGCCGCGUGCGGAAUGACGGCCUUCGGGGUGAGAACCGCUUUCGCUUGUGACGAAGCGUGAGUGACGGUAAUGAGUGAAGAAGCACCGGCUAACUACGUG